rnacentral:misc_RNA from 1 species
UUUUUACAAUCAGGAGAACUUCCUAAAUUCGUUACACAAGAAAUGAUGUUCAUCAAAUAUGGACAUAUAGUUCUUUUGUACAGAAGGAAUUACGUAUGGUUUUAUGUUCAUCAAAUAAAGGCGACAUUCCUUAAACAGAAGGAAUCCAUGGAAAUAAAACCAUACGUAACAUAAAGGCAUAAAAAAAAAUUAAAUACCAGAAAGUUAGAA